rnacentral:rRNA from 1 species
AGUUUGAUCCUGGCUACAGACGACGCUGGCGGCAUGCCUAACACAUGCAAGUCGAACGAAGCCUUCGGGCUUAGUGGCGCACGGGUGCGUAACGCGUGGGAAUCUGCCCUUGGGUUCGGAAUAACAGUUAGAAAUGACUGCUAAUACCGAAUGAUGUCUUCGGACCAAAGAUUUAUCGCCCAAGGAUGAGCCCGCGUCGGAUUAGCUAGUUGGUGAGGUUAAAAGGCUCACCAAGGCGACGAUCCGUAGCUGGUCUGAGAGGAUGAUCAGCCACACUGGGACUGAGACACGGCCCAGACUCCUACGGGAGGCAGCAGUGGGGAAUAUUGGACAAUGGGCGAAAGCCUGAUCCAGCAAUGCCGCGUGAGUGAUGAAGGCCUUAGGGUUGUAAAGCUCUUUUACCCGGGAUGAUAAUGACAGUACCGGGUGAAUAAGCCCCGGCUAACUCCGUG